GUCUUGGUAGCUUAGAUGGAAGAGCACUGGGCUAGUGAUCCAGUGGUCGUGGGUUCAAGUCCCGCCCAAGACA